rnacentral:rRNA from 1 species
AUUGAACGCUGGCGGCAUGCCUUACACAUGCAAGUCGAACGGCAGCACGGGAGCAAUCCUGGUGGCGAGUGGCGAACGGGUGAGUAAUAUAUCGGAACGUGCCCAGUCGUGGGGGAUAACUACUCGAAGAGUGGCUAAUACCGCAUACGAUCUACGGAUGAAAGCGGGGGACCGUUCGGGCCUCGCGCGAUUGGAGCGGCCGAUAUCAGAUUAGGUAGUUGGUAGGGUAAAAGACCUACCAAGCCUGCGAUCUGUAGCUGGUCUGAGAGGACGACCAGCCACACUGGAACUGAGACACGGUCCAGACUCCUACGGGAGGCAGCAGUGGGGAAUUUUGGACAAUGGGCGAAAGCCUGAUCCAGCAAUGCCGCGUGCAGGACGAAGGCCUUCGGUUGGUAACUAGCUUUGUUACGGAACGAAAAGGUAAGCUCCUAAUACGAGCUGCUGAUGACGGUACCGUAAGAAUAAGCACCGGCUAACUACGUG